AAAAUUAUUUUUGCUUUCAUUCCGCAACGUUACUUUUUUAACUGCGCGCGCAACUUGAUUCUCUUAUUUACAAUUGGUCGAGAAAUGUGCCGCCGCACCACAACAACGGUCCUAGUUCCUUUGGACAUACCGAUUCGAAAGCCGGCCAUUCUCAAUGAAUCUAAGUUUAGUAAAGUGAUCAACUGGGGCCAACUUGAUGUUACUCGAAGAACGUGUAUCGUGGGCCAAAUAUGCACGUCACAAUGUAAAACGGAUUCAGAAAUAUAAAUCGACGACAAUGUGCGCAUGCGCCACGCACGUGAAAGAAACUAGGAGAAUUCAUGUUAGAACUAGCGUGAAUUUAACAAUAAUUAUCAACGAUUCUUCUUUCAGUAACGUACAUUGUCCUCGAAUGGACAAAUGAUUAAUGAAGAUAAUCGAGGUUAAUCGUUAUGAUCUUCUUUUAUAAUAAUCAAAAUUCAUUUUACAAUUCCAUAAAAUACAACGAUUGAAAAAUAUUGGAUAUUGAAUAUCCGAAAUAAAAAUAUUUCUUUAAUUAUUUUCGUAUUAAUGAGUUUCCUUCACGGAAGACGGAUUUCCGUGGAAGAUAAUAGAAUGAGAAUGACAGAAGAGGAAAGAGAGUGGAGGAAAAGGGGAGCGAAAACGAGACGAGAAGAGAAUGGGUGUUGGCAUCAUCAUACUCGGGAGCAGACGCUGCGAGCGAACGCGUGAGACGGGAACCGGAAGUCUAUUUUCGUGUGCCGCACCGAUUUAGAAAGCUUUAUAGUUUGUACGAGCCUGAACGGCUACAGCCAACGCAUCGUUGAUGUGGCUCGUUGCUUUGAGCGCAUGCACAAAUUGAGAUUUGUGCGGCAUUCUCUCUCUUUCUCUCUCUCUCUCUCUUCUCUCACUAUGUAGAUCUAUCCCAUCCAACUAUUUACAAACAUCAGCCCGUUAAAGACGAAAUAGUAAAAGUAAUAA